GAUGAACGCUGGCGGCGUGCUUAACACAUGCAAGUCGAACGGAAAGGCCCAAGCUUGCUUGGGUACUCGAGUGGCGAACGGGUGAGUAACACGUGGGUGAUCUGCCCUGCACUUCGGGAUAAGCCUGGGAAACUGGGUCUAAUACCGGAUAGGACCACUUCUUGGAUGUUGUGGUGGAAAGUUUUUUCGGUGUGGGAUGAGCUCGCGGCCUAUCAGCUUGUUGGUGGGGUAAUGGCCUACCAAGGCGUCGACGGGUAGCCGGCCUGAGAGGGUGUACGGCCACAUUAGGACUGAGAUACGGCCCAGACUCCUACGGGAGGCAGCAGUGGGGAAUAUUGCACAAUGGGCGCAAGCCUGAUGCAGCGACGCCGCGUGGGGGAUGACGGCCUUCGGGUUGUAAACUCCUUUCGCUAGGGACGAAGCGUUUUGUGACGGUACCUGGAGAAGAAGCACCGGCUAACUACGUG
rnacentral:rRNA from 1 species